AACGUAGGAGACAAACGUUAUCCGGAGUUACUGGGCGUAAAGGGCGUGUAGGUGGUUCUGUAAGUCUGGCGUGAAAUUUCUCGGCUUAACCGAGGCAGGUCGUCGGAUACUGCAGGGCUAGAGGACGGUAGAGGCGUGUGGAAUUCCGGGUGUAGUGGUGAAAUGCGUAGAGAUCGGGAGGAACAUCAGUGGCGAAGGCAAUCCCCUGGGCCUGCACUGACGCUCAUGCACGAAAGCGUGGGGAGCAAACAGG
rnacentral:rRNA from 1 species